UGCACUAUAAAGUGAGAAUACAAAGGGUGGCUGAUGAAGUAAAAUGAAAAGGGCGGCUGAAUCAUUGCAAACUUAAGUUUUUCAUAGCAAAUUUAAACAAAAAAAGGCGACUAAAUCAUUAAAAUUCAAAAUUUUCAGUUUUUCAUUGCAAAAUUUUGGCGGCUCACUACAAAGUGAGAAUACAAACUAAGUGAAAAUUCUAGCUCCACAAAUCUUUAAAAUCAAAAAAAAAACCUUCCCUAGAAACACACCUAUAUUUCUAACACCCUUCUUCAUCUCCUUCUUGUUUCUUCAUGCUUCCUCCUUUUAGAAAACUUCACAAAAAUGCACUACAAGGAUGCAAGUAAGGCACAAAAAAAUCUUGUUGUGCAAUUUCUUCUCCAAC
rnacentral:lncRNA from 1 species